rnacentral:rRNA from 1 species
GUGCCAGCAGCCGCGGUAAGACGUAGGGACCGAGCGUUGUCCGGAUUCAUUGGGCGUAAAGCGCGCGCAGGCGGCUACGCAGGUCGGGUGUGAAAACCAGAGGCUCAACCUCUGGCCUGCACCCGAAACCGCGUGGCUAGAGGCAGGUAGGGGAGAUCGGAAUUCCUGGUGUAGCGGUGAAAUGCGCAGAUAUCAGGAGGAACACCGGUGGCGAAGGCGGAUCUCUGGGCCUGUCCUGACGCUGAGGUGCGAAAGCUAGGGGAGCAAACAGGAUUAGAAACCCGAGUAGUCC